AUUAAUUAAAAAAUAAUAAAAAAAUUUAACCUAACCGCUACCGCCCGCAACCGCAAACGCUUGCGGGAAUGAGCUUUUGAAAUCUGGCGAUUUCGAGCGGUCCAAAGCGGUAUCGAGCGGUUUCUAUGAUUGGUGCCAAUCGCUAACAACCGCUACCACCCGCAAACGCUGCGUUUGCGGGUGGCAGAGGGAGAACUAAUCAAGCCCUAACUAUAUGUUAGAUUAACUUGUCGGAAACAUGUUGGAAAAUACGUGUAAUUACUUAAAUAUCCACAAAAAUCUUUCUCUCUGCUAUUUUCUUAAUUUAUAUAUUUUAUUUGGCUAUUCAAUAAUAUUACCUAUCUAUUAAAUCAA
rnacentral:sRNA from 1 species